GUUGUAUAGUCAAGUAAUUAAGUGCAUGUGGUGGAUGCCUUGGCAGUCAGAGGCGAUGAAAGACGUGAUAGCCUGCGAAAAGCUCCGGGGAGGCGGCAAAUAUCCUUUGAUCCGGAGAUGUCUGAAUGGGGGAACCCACCUACUUUAAGGUAGGUAUUGCAACAUGAAUACAUAGUGUUGCAAGGCGAACGAGGGGAAGUGAAACAUCUCAGUACCCUUAGGAAAAGAAAUCAAUUGAGAUUCCCUCAGUAGCGGCGAGCGAACGGGGAUCAGCCCAUUAAGUUAUGUGUGUUUUAGUGGAACGCUCUGGGAAGUGCGAACGUAGAGGGUGAUAUUCCCGUACACGAAAGGGCACACAUAAUGAUGACGAGUAGGGCGAGGCACGUGAAACCUUGUCUGAAUAUGGGGGGACCAUCCUCCAAGGCUAAAUACUCCUGACUGACCGAUAGUGAACCAGUACCGUGAGGGAAAGGCGAAAAGAACCCCUGUGAGGGGAGUGAAAUAGAUCCUGAAACCGCAUGCAUACAAGCAGUGGGAGCACCUUCGUGGUGUGACUGCGUACCUUUUGUAUAAUGGGUCAGCGACUUAUAUUCAGUAGCGAGGUUAACCGUAUAGGGGAGCCGUAGAGAAAUCGAGUCUUAAUAGGGCGUUUAGUUGCUGGGUAUAGACCCGAAACCAGGCGAUCUAUCCAUGAGCAGGUUGAAGGUUGGGUAACACUAACUGGAGGACCGAACCCACUGUCGUUGAAAAGCCAGGGGAUGACUUGUGGAUAGGGGUGAAAGGCUAAUCAAGCCUGGUGAUAGCUGGUUCUCCCCGAAAGCUAUUUAGGUAGCGCCUCGGACGAAUACCAUAGGGGGUAGAGCACUGUUUCGGCUAGGGGGUCAUCCCGACUUACCAAACCGAUGCAAACUCCGAAUACCUAUGAGUACUAUCCGGGAGACAGACUGCGGGUGCUAACGUCCGUAGUCAAGAGGAAAACAAUCCAGACCGCCAGCUAAGGCCCCAAAAUCAUAGUUAAGUGGGAAACGAUGUGGGAAGGCAUAGACAGCUAGGAGGUUGGCUUAGAAGCAGCCACCCUUUAAAGAAAGCGUAAUAGCUCACUAGUCGAGUCGGCCUGCGCGGAAGAUGUAACGGGGCUAAAACUAUGUGCCGAAGCUGCGGAUGUAUACUUUGUAUACGUGGUAGGGGAGCGUUCUGUAAGCCGAUGAAGGUGUGUUGAGAAGCAUGCUGGAGGUAUCAGAAGUGCGAAUGCUGACGUGAGUAACGACAAAACGGGUGAAAAACCCGUUCGCCGAAAGACCAAGGGUUCCAGUCCAACGUUAAUCGGGGCUGGGUGAGUCGACCCCUAAGGCGAGGCCGAAAGGCGUAGUCGAUGGGAAAAUGGUUAAUAUUCCAUUACUUCUGUGUAAUGCGAUGAGAGGACGGAGAAGGCUAAAUCAGCCUGGCGUUGGUUGUCCAGGUGAAAGGAUGUAGGCAUGUAUCUUAGGCAAAUCCGGGGUACUCUAUGCUGAGAUCUGAUAGCAAGCUGUACUUGUACAGCGAAGUGGUUGAUGCCAUGCUUCCAGGAAAAGUCUCUAAGCUUCAGUUACACAGGAAUCGUACCCGAAACCGACACAGGUGGUCAGGUCGAGUAGACCAAGGCGCUUGAGAGAACUCUGCUGAAGGAACUAGGCAAAAUGGUACCGUAACUUCGGGAGAAGGUACGCUGUUGUUGGUGAUGGAACUCGCUUCCUGAGCUGACGACAGCCGCAGAAACCAGGCCGCUGCAACUGUUUAUUAAAAACAUAGCACUCUGCAAACACGAAAGUGGACGUAUAGGGUGUGAUGCCUGCCCGGUGCUGGAAGGUUAAUUGAUGGGGUUAGCGUAAGCGAAGCUCUUGAUCGAAGCCCCAGUAAACGGCGGCCGUAACUAUAACGGUCCUAAGGUAGCGAAAUUCCUUGUCGGGUAAGUUCCGACCUGCACGAAUGGCAUAAUGAUGGCGGCGCUGUCUCCAGCAGAGGCUCAGUGAAAUCGAAAUCGCUGUGAAGAUGCAGUGUACCCGCGGCUAGACGGAAAGACCCCGUGAACCUUUACUGCAGCUUGACACUGAACUUUGACCUUACUUGUGUAGGAUAGGUGGGAGGCUUUGAAGCUGGAACGAAAGUUCCAGUGGAGCCGUCCUUGAAAUACCACCCUGGUAAUGUUGAGGUUCUAACUCUGUCCCGUGAUCCGGGACGAGGACCGUGUCUGGUGGGUAGUUUGACUGGGGCGGUCUCCUCCUAAAGAGUAACGGAGGAGUACGAAGGUGCGCUCAGCGUGGUCGGAAAUCACGCGUAGAGUAUAAAGGCAAAAGCGCGCUUAACUGCGAGACCCACAAGUCGAGCAGGUACGAAAGUAGGUCUUAGUGAUCCGGUGGUUCUGUAUGGAAGGGCCAUCGCUCAACGGAUAAAAGGUACUCUGGGGAUAACAGGCUGAUACCGCCCAAGAGUUCAUAUCGACGGCGGUGUUUGGCACCUCGAUGUCGGCUCAUCUCAUCCUGGGGCUGAAGCAGGUCCCAAGGGUAUGGCUGUUCGCCAUUUAAAGAGGUACGCGAGCUGGGUUUAGAACGUCGUGAGACAGUUCGGUCCCUAUCUACCGUGGGCGCUGGAAAUUUGAGAGGAUCUGCUCCUAGUACGAGAGGACCAGAGUGGACGAACCUCUGGUGUACCGGUUGUGACGCCAGUCGCAUCGCCGGGUAGCUAUGUUCGGAAGGGAUAACCGCUGAAAGCAUCUAAGCGGGAAGCCUACCUCAAGAUAAGAUUUCCCUAGGACUUUAUGUCCUCUAAAGAGCCGUUCGAGACUAGGACGUUGAUAGGUUGGAUGUGGAAGCAUAGUGAUAUGUGAAGCUGACCAAUACUAAUUGCUCGUGAGGCUUGACUAUACAACACCCAAGCAGUUG
rnacentral:rRNA from 1 species